UCUUCCUUGUUCCAGGAAAGAAUGCACCAAACCCUGCAUGAUUGUUUAUUCACAUCCACUUAGCAGGCUGGUGAGCAGCGUGCGGAGGAGGCGGCAGAACCAGAACCUGGACGCAGGAGAAGGACGGGGGGCACGAGAUGGGCACAGGACGCCUCCCAAUCAAGGCUGCUCUGUGGGUUUCAGAAACGGGACACCCAUCCCUUCAGACAUGGAUUCACAUCCACCAACUCCUGACAGUCUCGGGCAGAGCAGCUGCCUGCCUGCUUCUCAGAUCCCUGCUAUAGAAAGCAAGGCCGUGAUGACAGCGUAAAAGCAUGCGUCGGCCACACACAGGCUUCCCACCACUGCCUCUGCCCUCCACACCAC
ensembl:lncRNA novel transcript